GUCUCAACUAGAUUUGUCCAUGAAUUGUAUCACCUGAUUCAACUCAAAAGCAUGUCCAAAAUAUGAGAGAGUUUAAAUAAGAAUAUAAACUUAAAAAAUAAGAUUUGGUUUAUGAAUGAGACUCAUUUUAAAAACGGACUGAUCUUGGAAAAUAUUGAACGCGAAGAUCUUUGUUCUUUCAACCAUUGUUCCCUUCAAUUUCCUUUUCACAAUCCUUCCUUUCCCUUUAAAUCUACGUUUCCUUAUUUGAACUCAAUUUUGUUCUCUUUUUACUACUUUUGAAAGUUUGGGGUUUUUUUGUUGCUUUGCUUUUUAUUCAUUUUGAUUCCAUUUGGAUUCAAUUCAGUCAAGGGAAAA